GACGAACGCUGGCGGCGUGCCUAAUACAUGCAAGUAGAACGCUGAAGAGAGGAGCUUACUCUUCUUGGAUGAGUUGCGAACGGGUGAGUAACGCGUAGGUAACCUGCCUUGUAGCGGGGGAUAACUAUUGGAAACGAUAGCUAAUACCGCAUAACAAUGGAUUACACAUGUCAUUUAUUUGAAAGGGGCAAUUGCUCCACUACAAGAUGGACCUGCGUUGUAUUAGCUAGUAGGUGAGGUAAUGGCUCACCUAGGCGACGAUACAUAGCCGACCUGAGAGGGUGAUCGGCCACACUGGGACGGAGACACGGCCCAGACUCAUACGGGAGGAAGCAGUAGGGAAUCGUCGGCAAUGGGGGAAACCCGGACCGAGCAACGCCGCGGGAGUGAAGAAGGUUGUCGGAUCGUAAAGCUCUGUUGUAAGUCAAGAACGGGUGUGAGAGUGGAAAGUUCACACUGUGACGGUAGCUGACCAGAAAGGGACGGCUAACUACGUG
rnacentral:rRNA from 1 species